rnacentral:rRNA from 1 species
UUAUAAGAGACAGCAGUAGCCGCGGGAAUACAGAGGGUGCGAGCGUUAAUCGGAAUUACUGGGCGUAAAGCGUGCGCAGGCGGUUCGUUAAGACAGAUGUGAAAUCCCCGGGCUUAACCUGGGAACUGCAUUUGUGACUGACGGGCUAGAGUAUGGCAGAGGGGGGUAGAAUUCCACGUGUAGCAGUGAAAUGCGUAGAGAUGUGGAGGAAUACCGAUGGCGAAGGCAGCCCCCUGGGCCAAUACUGACGCUCAUGCACGAAAGCGUGGGGAGCAAACAGGAUUAGAUACCCGUGUAGUCCCUGUCUCUUAUAC